GAGUUGGUGCGCCAUUUGACCGCUUGAGCGCCCUAGUAUACUAGAGCUCUAGUGGCAGGUCGAAAGCAAUAAGCGCCGCCUAUCGGCUGAGCGCUUAAAACGGGCGACUCCAAGCGGCCAUCAGCAGGAAUGAGGUCGUGAUGGCCACUCUCCAUGGCAAAAAACACAUCGAAAUCUUCAUCGCGACAGAUGAUCACUCACGAACCAAGGUAACCAUAGUUCCGGCAAAAUUGAAGACCGGGUGGUCGCCCGCGAAACGGAUAGCUCUAGGAAAAAGACUCGCCGGGAAACUUUAUCCGUACGGCAUGAUAUCGUGCACCGAGAACGACUACAUGAUGUAUAUAAUAUUUGGAAAAAUGAACAAGCCAAUCACCAACCCGGCUUGUCCACUCAGAAGGGAUCUGACGCGGGUGUCUGUCGAAGAAAUUAACUCAGAAUGUUUUUGGCUGGAAAGCAAAGGUGGGCAGCACAUAGUGAAUGCGCUGCCUGAAGGAGACCCAUUAGUAAAAGAAACAAUAUUUUUAAAACAUUAUUGAAAUAUUGAAAUAAUAUUUUCACAGAAUAUUUUGGUAAUUGUAUAUGCAAUUCAAAAAUAUUUUUAAAAUAUGAAAAUAUGAACACCAAGAUAUUUUUAUAGUAAAUCCUGGAUAUUUUUAAAAUAAAUCCUAGAAAUAUUUUUAAAAUAAUUUUAAACAUAUUUUUAAAACGUUUCUAAAUACAUAUUUAAAAUAUUUUGUGAAUAUUUUGAAAAUAUUUAAAUGUAUUAUUUUUCUGGAAAUAUUUUAAAAAUAUUGUUGGCUAACUGGGAUAAAAGGGAAAUGCAGGCAGGAGCGGAUCCAGCAAAUUGGCAACACCGGAUUCCCUCCAUUUAAACCUAUGUUAAACAAUCGAUUCUUGUCGGAGCACCUAGCCUCUCGAAGAAUCGAUACAUUUCUAUGGGUUUGAAUGGAGAAAAACAAUAUUGCCAAUUGCGAAGAGAAACAUGGUAAAACGACAUAAUUAAACUUGUGAUGAAAUGGACUCAAUUUAUUAAUCAUAAAAAAAAUAUAUAUAUAAUUCCAAAACUCCUGGUUUUCUAGAUAAUCCAAUGCUACUUUGUAUCUUAAUACAUUGGUAAAUUUAAUUAAUGUAGACAAAUAUGAGGCACAUAGUUCUUGUAGCCCACAUGUUAAGACUUCCAGGAUCCCAGUAAACGGAAAAAAAUGCUAGUGUAGGGAGUUCACUGACUGAGAGGAGAUCAGUUUUGAUUAUAGAAAAAAAAUAUCUAAUUUUGCUGGUGAAUUCUUAGAGACUGGGAAAAAGUAGGUUUAAAAACCAAUUUUCCAUCUUUGAACGAUGAAGAAUCUUUGCACCUUACUUCAAUUACUGCAUCGUGUGAAAUUGAAACUUUUUGUCUUUCUGCAAUUGCUCGAGGAUCAAACAUUAAGAAUAAUUUUCCAUCGGAUCGUCAAGUGGGACAGGUGUUUCAUAGACACAGACAUUCAAUCGAUCAUACUUGAUAUGGAGACAUGUAUAAUACUUAUCACGCACAAAAAAGCAUUUAAUUCACCACUCAAGAGCCCUUCUUAAGUUUGAACAUGAUUUCUCUCCGAGCUCUCCACGGAAUCAGACAUGAAUUGCAUUUUUCUCCUUAGACAAUCUUUCCAGCCCGUCCAUAAAAUUGUAGGCUUUAUUCUGAGUCUCGUUGGCCUAGAUACACGAGUCUUUCAGAAUCGUAUCAAGGCAAAUUACAAGAAAUUGACUCUAGGAAGAAUUAUACGAAAUCGGCAUUUUAAACUAUUGGAAGUUUUUCACCCAAUUUUACUACUUAAAAAAUGCCUCUAUGUUUAAGUUUCUUUGAAUUUACUCGAAAUUUGCUUUGACAAACCGAAAAGCUCUGUCUACAUGGCAUAUACGGAAUGCAAAGGCUCAUACGUUCGAUCGAUGGCGAUUUAGCCAACGUAGGAAAUUUGAAAAUGCGUCAUAAAUAUGGACUUCACAAAUUGUGUGUAGAGGAGUAGACGUCACCUUUUUGUACAUAUUAAUCUUGAAUUUUGAACGAUCUCACUUUCUAUGAGUUGAUUACCGAUAAAGAACUAAUUCAUAGCCCAAAUAUACGUGUUUUUCAUGUUUUAGCCUUGUUUAGCCAUGCUUUAAUUCUCUCCUGAUUU
rnacentral:lncRNA from 1 species